UACGGGGGGGGCAAGCGUUGUUCGGAAUUACUGGGCGUAAAGGGCUCGUAGGCGGCCAACUAAGUCGGACGUGAAAUCCCUCGGCUUAACUGGGGAACUGCGUCUGAUACUGGAUGGCUUGAGUUCGGUAGGGGAGACUGGAAUUCCUGGUGUAGCGGUGAAAUGCGCAGAUAUCAGGAGGAACACCGGUGGCGAAGGCGGGUCUCUGGGCCGAUACUGACGCUGAGGAGCGAAAGCGUGGGGAGCGAACAGG
rnacentral:rRNA from 1 species